UCCUAAAAGAACUUCACACUGAUGAAAAGGAGUUUCUGAAGGCUCAACAACAUGCAUCAAAGCAAGGAGCAGCAUGCUUUUCUUUUCUUCACCAACAAGAUACUGACUCCAGAAAGGAGGUAUUGCUCUUGGAACUUGAGAACUAUCUCAAAGAAGCUAGAAAUAAUGCAGAGGAGCAGCAGAAAAUUCAGAAGCGAAUCGAUGACACCAAAUUGCCGAUGGAUGGUGUCCUCGCAUCUAUCAAGAAAUCUAAAAUGGGUGCACCAUACGUCCUUCGCAUGCAGCUUUUCUCUCUUUUUGGGACUCUGAACUGAGGCUUUAUUAUGUCAGUUUCUACCUAGAAAUACUGCACAAUAUCUUGCUUUUUGAGCCUAAUUGAGUUUUUUUCUGCAGAUAUGACUGAACACAAUUUUGAGAGGUACUUGGCCGGCUGAGUUGUCUGAGGUUAAAUCUCAAUAUCCAGAACAGCCCUCAAGGACUACAAGACCCUAUUAUUUUCUGAUGGUGCAGGUGGAUCAUCUGCUUUGAGAUUUGAAAGACAUCAGUUUCAGAGUGGAUCUUGCUUUUCUCGACUACUAUCGUGUCUGACCAAUUCUCAACCUAUUUAUAACUUCGCCAACAUGGUUUUGACCCUUAAAAUUCCUAGAAUCGACCGGAUUGCUCAUGGGAAAUGUUCAAAGCCUGCUUCUGUCCGGAGCAAUUCGCAAAGAUAUGGAGGAGCAAGAGAUACGAUUAGCUCUAAAUGGGAACAUAAAUUUCAGGCCUUUAGCUUUUCCCAUGAAUGUAUGGACCUGGUUUGAUAUUUCUUGAGCAACAUAGAAGCAGAAGGAAGAACAUUUCAGUGACUUAAGCUAUUUUAUCUGGUCGAAAUGCAAAAUCAAACAUGCCAUGAAAUUACAUGAAGGCUUUACUCGCAAGAUUCAUUAUACAGAGUGUAUAGUGUUGAUGCUUAG